GAGAAGUUCUGCAGGACUCUGACAAGGGCAAGUUUCAUGCUGGUGGUCGCAAACCUCAUCCCAAUGCAGUUUCGGGGUCCAGUUCCAAAAGGCAGUAUCUGUGUUCAGAGCUGAUUCCUCUUCAGCACAUUAUAGAACACCAAGACCCUGUUCUGCGCUGCCAGGAACACCAUCCCUUCUUCUCUACACCCCUGCUAAGGCUCCUGAAAGACCCACUCUGUCUCAUCUCCAUCGAUCUGAGAUUGCCCUGAGGACUCACUCAUUUCUGGAAAAGGUGAGCUACCUCUUUGUGGCUCGCCCAUGGGAGUUUAACACCACACGCCUACUUCCGCUUGUUUGCUGGAGUAACUCAACAGAGAGAACUGGGCUUUAUGGCAGCAGCUGGAAAGUGUCGUGACAGAGUUGGAAUCCCAGCAACUGGACUCCUACUUACUCU